rnacentral:rRNA from 1 species
AUUGAACGCUGGCGGCAUGCCUAACACAUGCAAGUCGAACGGCAGCAUGAUGUGUAGCAAUACAUAUUGAUGGCGAGUGGCGGACGGGUGAGUAACGCGUGGGAAUCUGCCCUAAAGUGGGGGAUAACCCGACGAAAGUCGGGCUAAUACCGCAUACGCCCUUCGGGGAAAGGCUUCGGCCGCUUUUGGAUGAGCCCGCGUCGGAUUAGCUAGUUGGUGAGGUAAUGGCUCACCAAGGCGACGAUCCGUAGCUGGUCUGAGAGGACGACCAGCCACACUGGGACUGAGACACGGCCCAGACUCCUACGGGUGGCAG